GCUUAAAGCGGCCGUAGCUGGGUUGUUAAGUCUCUUGGGAAAUCUGGCGGCUUAACCGUCAGGCGUCUAAGGGAUACUGGCAAUCUUGGAACCGGGAGAGGUGAGGGGUACUUCGGGGGUAGGAGUGAAAUCCUGUAAUCCUCGAGGGACCACCUGUGGCGAAGGCGCCUCACCAGAACGGCUUCGACAGUGAGGGACGAAAGCUGGGGGAGCAAACCGGAUUAGAUACCCGGGUAGUCCCAGCCGUAAACUAUGCGCGUUAGGUGUAUCGGUGACCACGAGUUACCGAGGUGCCGAAGGGAAACCGUGAAACGUGCCGCCUGGGAAGUACGGUCGCAAGGCUGAAACUUAAAGGAAUUGGCGGGGGAGCACCACAACAGGUGGAGCCUGCGGUUUAAUUGGACUCAACGCCGGGAAGCUCACCGGAUAGGACAGCAGAAUGAUUGCCGGGCUGAAGACCCUGCAUGACUAGCUGAGAGGAGGUGCAUGGCCGUCGUCAGUUCGUACUGUGAAGCAUCCUGUUAAGUCAGGCAACGAGCAAGACCCACGCCAACAGUUGCCAGCAUGGUCUCCGGACUGAUGGGGACACUGUUGGGACCGCCUCUGCUAAAGAGGAGGAAGGAAUGGGCAACGGUAGGUCAGCAUGCCCCGAAUUAUCCGGGCUACACGCGGGCUACAAUGGGCAGGACAAUGGGCAUCGACACCGUGAGGUGGAGGCGAUCUCCUAAACCUGUCCUUAGUUCGGAUUGUGGGCUGAAACUCGCCCACAUGAAGCUGGAAUCUGUAGUAAUCGCGUUUCAAAAUAACGCGGUGAAUUUGUCCCUGCUCCUUGCACACACCGCCCGUAA
rnacentral:rRNA from 1 species